AUUACGCAAGGGCGGGGUGUGGGUGAUAGGAUGUCAUUGUUUCUCAUUCUUACAGGAAGAAUAGGAAAUUUGUUAGACCAGGCAACUUCUGUUUCUCUCUCUCUCUCUCUCUCUCUCUCUCUCUCUCUCUCUCUCUCUCUCUCUCUCUCUCUCUCUCUAUAUAUAUAUAUAUAUAUCUAAACUUUGUCAGAUUUAAUGUAGGAUGAAGCAAAAGUUCCCACAGGAAUAUUGGCUCAUGUACUCUGUGGUUUGUUACUGUAUGUGGUCAUUUUACAGGGAUCCCAGAACAAGAAUGUUGUUUAACAGAGUAAUGUGUUAGGUUGUUGAUUGUUAUUUGGAGUCAAAAUUAUACAUCAUUGAGAUCAAUGACGUGGAAUCCCAACCGUUGAUUCCAUUUUUGUUCAAUCCUAUGGCCAUUAAUAAAGAGAGAUGCGCGAGAAGCUAAAAAUAGUGUGAAAAUAAAAUUGCUGUUAUUACCA
rnacentral:lncRNA from 1 species